rnacentral:ncRNA from 1 species
CCUGCCAAGCCUCUUGAUAAUGCUCAAAUCGGCAGGU